rfam:Triticum aestivum genome assembly, contig: Triticum_aestivum_CS42_TGACv1_scaffold_405037_5BL
CACGUAGUCCCUCCGUCCGAAAAUACUUGUCAUUAAAAUGGACAAAAAUGAAUGUAUCUAAAACUAAAAUACAUCUAGAUACAUUCAUUUUUAUUCAUUUUGAUGACAAGCAUUUCUGAAUGAAAGGAGUACAAA